AACGCACGAGACCUGCGGACCUGCGGAGGGAUCAUUACAGAGUUGCAAAACUCCCAAACCAUUGUGAACGUUACCUUCUCGUUGCUUCGGCGGGCGGCCCGGGUCCUUCCCGGCGCCCCCCGGCCCCUCGCGGGCGCCCGCCGGAGGUAAACCAAACUCUUGAAUUGUAUGGCCUCUCUGAGUCUUCUGUACUGAAUAAGUCAAAACUUUUAGCAACGGAUCUCUAGAUCGGAAGAGCAC
rnacentral:misc_RNA from 1 species